CACACACACACACACACACACACACACACACACCCCAAAGCAGGCGCUGGCAGUGCCAGGUGCUCUGUCUCAGGUGCUCUGUCCCAGGUGCUCUGUCCCAGGUGCUCUGUCCCAGGUGCUCUGUCCCAGGUGCUCUGUCUCAGGUGCUCUGUCCCAGGUGCUCUGUCCCAGGUGCUCUGUCCCAGG
rnacentral:sRNA from 1 species